GAUGAACGCUGGCGGCGUGCCUAAUACAUGCAAGUCGAGCGAACAGACGAGGAGCUUGCUCCUCUGACGUUAGCGGCGGACGGGUGAGUAACACGUGGAUAACCUACCUAUAAGACUGGGAUAACUUCGGGACACCGGAGCUAAUACCGGAUAAUAUAUUGAACCGCAUGGUUCAAUAGUGAAAGACGGUUUUGCUGUCACUUAUAGAUGGAUCCGCGCCGCAUUAGCUAGUUGGUAAGGUAACGGCUUACCAAGGCAACGAUGCGUAGCCGACCUGAGAGGGUGAUCGGCAACACUGGAACUGAGACACGGUCCAGACUCCUACGGGAGGCAGCAGUAGGGAAUCUUCCGCAAUGGGCGAAAGCCUGACGGAGCAACGCCGCGUGAGUGAUGAAGGUCUUCGGAUCGUAAAACUCUGUUAUUAGGGAAGAACAAAUGUGUAAGUAACUAUGCACGUCUUGACGGUACCUAAUCAGAAAGCCACGGCUAACUACGUG
rnacentral:rRNA from 1 species